CGUCCUCAUUAAUAAUAUGCGCUAUGGGGUCGGUGAGUGCUGAAGCCGUACAUCGGGGCAGCACGAGAACGACCCCAACCUUCUGGAGACGUGAAUCGCUUUCGCUCAGUUCAGCAAAUUGUUCAGACAGCAAGCCCAAUGCUAGACAGCGUUGCCUGUAGCUCCUCCCUGUGGGCGGAGUCAGCAGGGAGCCCACAGGCGUAGACGACGUUGGAAAAGACAGAAGCCUGGACUCCUACGUGAGCCACGAAGUUCUCGCGCUUGGUGUGGAAACAGCAGGACAUCGGGACAGUGUGUGUCCUUGCAGAACACACUCCCUUCCAGAUGUGUGUGUGGAUCCACCUGAACGAAGCCCAGUGUCUCCAGCGUCACACACACUUCAUCCAAGCUGCGGAGUCACAAAGCAUUUGGACCCCCAUGGUGAAGGUGUAGAACACUUCAACCAGCUGGAACUGAGGGAGGACAGCAAGUGUGUUGGUGUCGUUUGUCUCGGACUCCAAAACUCCUCAGGUGGGCCCAUCCAUGGUUUGCGUCAAUGAUGGCAACUCGCUUGCCGGGGUGGCAUAAUGGAGAUACAGCACAUACGCAGUGGAGAGUGGUGUUUCACAUCUGGGGAAGGUUUGGCAGGGCACAGGUGGUUUUUGUUGAUGCCAUAUUUAUUCACUGUCAAAUGCAGUUCUGUCUGCCAGAGCUGCGUAAUCUGCUAGGUCACUCUUGCCUUUACCGCUGAUUCUGCUCACAUUACACAGAAUUCAGAAGACAGGCCACAGAGUCCACAUCUCACGCGCCUAACAGUCUGACAUGGGAUGCUUGUACCGGAGCUCCUUAAACGCCGCCGUAUGGGGCCGUAACAACGCAGCCUAUGGUCUUCGUGACUUUCUUGACUUGAAAGUCGCUGUGUACUUGCCCAGUGUCUCCUGCAGCGGGGUGUGGGACGGGGGCAUAACGGAUAGCCCUGUAAUCCUGCGUCUUCUCCACACAGGAUGCUCGGU